rnacentral:piRNA from 1 species
UAGUAUAGUGCAUUGUACAUGGGAUC